CCUGAUGCAGCCAUGCCGCGUGUGUGAAGAAGGCCUUCGGGUUGUAAAGCACUUUCAGCGAGGAGGAAAGGUUGGUAGCUAAUACCUGUCAGCUGUGACGUUACUCGCAGAAGAAGCACCGGCUAACUCCGUGCCAGCAGCCGCGAUAAUA
rnacentral:rRNA from 1 species